CUGGAGAGCGGCGAACGGGUGAGUAACACGUAAACAAUCUGCCCUUUAGUUGGGGACAACCAUCCUAACGGAUGGCUAAUACCGAAUAUUGUUGAGAAUUCGCAUGUUUUUUCAACGAAAGGCUUCGGCCGCUAGAGGAUGAGUUUGCGUCCCAUUAGUUUGUUGGCGGGGUAACGGCCCACCAAGACUUCGAUGGGUAGCCGGCCUGAGAGGGUGAUCGGCCACAUUGGGACUGAGAUACGGCCCAG
rnacentral:rRNA from 1 species